UUCCUCUUUUCCCAAAGGAGUAUUACUCUAUUGCCCAUUGUAUGGCAGGUGGUUGUGCAAGCAUUGCUACUUCAUUCAUUUUUACUCCUAGCGAGCGUAUAAAACAGCAGAUGCAAGUUGGUUCACACUAUCAGAACUGCUGGAAUGCAUUGCUUGGAAUUAUUGGAAAGGGUGGUUUACGUUCAUUGUAUGCUGGGUGGGGAGCAGUACUCUGCAGGAAUGUUCCUCACUCAAUAAUCAAGGUCAG